rnacentral:misc_RNA from 1 species
AUAGAAAUUCAUUAAUGGAUUGGACUAAGCCCAAUUACACGAGCCAAAAAAGCCAGAAGGCCUAUAGGCAAAUGAAGCACAUCUCUUAAUACAAUCAAAAUCUAACCCCAAAUAAAUUUAAACAAUCCAACAGAAACAAAAAGCCUAAAGCCCAACAAACUAGAGCCCUAGACUGCAUCGGAUCCUAAACCUAAAGAAGACCUAAAUCAGCAAAACAAUGGGUUGCAAAAGCCACCACUGAUGAAACCAGAUGAGGUGUCGCCGGAGAGAUCUUCGCCUUUCAAUGGCCAUAGAUAGCGAGGAUCGCAGCUAGCUACCAAGUAGAGAUCAACCACGGUCUUCAUAGAGCUAGCUCAGAGAAAAGCAUAAGACCAAAAGCAACCAGGGAUCCAAAGAAACUUGUUGCAAGUUGAAUAUUCUGUUAACGAGGGCGACUGGGCAAAGCUCCACGGCAAGCGAGCCUUAUGGGUCACCUUUAAAGUCCGACACACGAUCCCGAAGGUAUCGCCAUCCCGAAGAUUUCAGUCACUUAUAGAAGAAAUGCAUACACUGGGUUGCAAAAGGAGAACCUAGACGUUUAACACCUCUCUGGGAAGCACCGAAAGCCAACAGUAUCCAAACUUGCUAUAAGCACAGAGCCAAAGAAGAAAGACAGGACAAGGCAUAUUCAAAGGAAAAACCUAUCAUUAAAGCUCAAUAUGCCCACAAACAAACAUAGAAAACAAAUAUUUACACCCGCCUAAAGGUCGUUUGAGUAACCCAAGAUUAAACAGAAAAUAGAAGCUUCUCCUAUUGUAAUUAUGUAGGGGAAACCGCUUAAACAAUAGAAAAGAUAUGACGAAGUGUAAGAACCAAAAAUAGAACAAAAAGUGAGUUUCUUUCUCUAAAAAAUUAAAGGUUUUGAAAACAUUAAGGGUAUGUUUGGGAAGGGAGAAAAGUGAGAGCGGAAAGAAAAUGUGAG